rnacentral:lncRNA from 13 species
CUCUGGCAUUGGCAAAACCCUUGGUUUAAAUGUCAGCUCUGCCACUACUAGCUGUGUGACCUUGGUUGCAUUGCUUAACUUCUCUGUACCUUAGUUUUCUUGUCUGUAUGGUAAGAGUAACAGCAGCCCCUUUGAAAUGGUUUGGCAGGAUGGAAUGAGGUGAUGCCCCAGACUUCAUACAGUGUAAGCGCUCAGUAAGUGCCGUCUAUAUUUGCUGCAUCACACAGACUGGGGCCCUGAAUGUCACCUGCUCCAGGAGAUCAGCAUGAGAAGAAAAGAGGAAACAGCUUUUGAGUUUUCUUCAUCUUACGAAAAGGAAAGCUGAUGGUUUGCCAAAAGAAAAUGAAUUCCAAACUCUUGGGUCUGAACUGGGUUCAAGCAUCAGAUCCAGGGGAGCCCGGGGGAGGCUGCUUAGUCAGUCAGGAUGCUUGAAUGUCCUCUGCAGAAGCCAGGUGAGUCCAAGCAAAGUGGGGCACCUCCCCCGCUUUCCUUUCUCGCGUGUGUUCAUGUGUGUGCACAUUUGUGCAUUCUACCAC